CCCUAUCGAGCUUUACUGGACGCCGAUAGCGUUAAUUUAGAAUGAUCGAUACUAAGUAUCCUAAUUCUAAGUUAAUAAUUUUUGUUGGCCGGACAGUUUAGUUGGGGCGACUACCUUUGAAUAAGAAACGAAGGCGAGCUUAUGGUAUUAUUAAAAUCUCAUUAGCCUGACAGUGAGGGGGACAUCCCUAGCUGGCACAAGGACCCCAUAUUAAUAUGGGGCUCCUAUGUGGGCGAUAGUGACCCGAUAUGAUUAUCCAAGAUAAAUAUCGAAAGCGGAUAAAAGCUACCGUAGGG
rnacentral:rRNA from 1 species